UUAUGGCCUAAGUCACUGAUUCUAUGCUGCCAAGAAAAGCCUAGCAGCGAGUUGGCACGGUGCCCGUACCCCAAACCAACACAGGUGGAUAGGUAGAGAAUACCAAGGCGAUUGGGAGAACUGUGGUUAAGGAACUCGGCAAAAUGCAUGCGUAACUUCGGGAUAAGCAUGACCUCGUUAGGGUGAAGGGACUUGCUCCCGGAGCUCGAAGAGGUGGCACAGAAUUGGGGGAAGCGACUGUUUACUAAAAACACAGCAGCGUGCGAAGCCGAAAGGCGCUGUAUACGCUGUGACGCCUGCCCAAUGCUGGAAGGUCACGGGGAAGGGUUAGCCCUAGGGCGAAGCUCUGAACCUAAGCCCCAGUGAAUGGCGGCCGUAACUAUAACGGUCCUAAGGUAGCGAAAUUCCUUGUCGGGUAAGUUCCGACCUGCACGAAUGGCGUAACGACUUCCCUACUGUCUCAACCACAGACCCAGCGAAAUUGAAGUACGAGUAAAGAUGCUCGUUAGCUGUAGAAGGACGGAAAGACCCCGUGGACCUUUACUAUAGCUUGAUAUUGAGUCUUGUCAUGCGUUGUGUAGGAUAGGUGGGAGGCUAGGAAGCAUGCACGCCAGUGUGUGUGGAGCCAUCCUUGAAAUACCACCCUGCGUAUGGCGGGACUCUCACCCUGACCCGUUAUCCGGGCCGGGGACAGUGUCAGGUGGGUAGUUUGACUGGGGCGGUCGCCUCCUAAAGAGUAACGGAGGCGCCCAAAGGUUCCCUCAGACUGGUUGGCAAUCAGUCGUCGAGCGCAAUGGCAUAAGGGAGCUUGACUGCGAGACGUACAGGUCGAGCAGGUGCGAAAGCAGGGCAUAGUGAUCCGGCGGUUGCGUGUGGAAGCGCCGUCGCUCAACGGAUAAAAGGUACCCCGGGGAUAACAGGCUAAUCUUCCCCAAGAGUCCAUAUCGACGGGAAGGUUUGGCACCUCGAUGUCGGCUCAUCGCAUCCUGGGGCUGAAGCAGGUCCCAAGGGUUGGGCUGUUCGCCCAUUAAAGCGGUACGCGAGCUGGGUUUAGAACGUCGUGAGACAGUUCGGUCCCUAUCCUCUACAGCCGGAAGUGACUUGAGAAAAGCUGUCCCUAGUACGAGAGGACCGGGAUGGACGCAGCUCUCGUGUGCCAGUUGUCCUGCCAAGGGCAUGGCUGGUUAGCGACCUGCGGGCGAGAUAACCGCUGAAAGCAUCUAAGCGGGAAGCUCCUUUCAAGAUGAGGUCACUCACAGGGUCAACCUGGUAAGGCCCGUGGUAGACCACCACGUUGAUAGGCCGGAAGUGUAAGC
rnacentral:rRNA from 1 species